rnacentral:rRNA from 1 species
GUGCCAGCAGCCGCGGUAAUACGGAGGGUGCAAGCGUUGUCCGGAAUCACUGGGUGUAAAGGGUGUGCAGGCGGGGCAACAAGUCGGAUGUGAAACCCCAUGGCUCAACCAUGGAGGUGCAUUCGAAACUGUUGCUCUUGAGUCCCGGAGAGGUUGCCGGAAUUCGUGGUGUAGCGGUGAAAUGCGUAGAUAUCACGAGGAACACCAGAGGCGAAAGCGGGCAACUGGACGGGUACUGACGCUCAGGCACGAAAGCCAGGGUCUCCAACCGGAUUAGAUACCCGAGUAGUCC